rnacentral:lncRNA from 1 species
CUCAGCCCCACCUUGAAAAGCCAUUCCUCCUUGGGCAGCCAGCAGAUCCCUGGGGCCAAAUCCCUAGCAGACAAACCAAACAUGCAGAUACUUUGUACAAACAGACAGCUGAUUCCCAGAUGGUUUUUACCCCUAAAAUGUACAGCAAUAGUGACCCUAACUCUGACAGCCCAGAAGCUCCUAGCACCCAUCUACCACCGAUUAGCUGAGGUUUGCAGACAGCACCUGAUGCAGGACCUUGAAGGACAUGGAGCCCCAGGCCAGGGUGUUGGAGCCUAGCCUGAACUACAUAAGCUCCUGUCUCAACAAAACAAAAAAUGAGGAUGAAGAGAAGGCUCAGCGGAUAAAGGUGCUUUCUGCUAAGCCUGAUUGCCUAAGUGGGAUCCCUGGUACCCACGUGGUAGAAGAAGAGAGCACACUAC